AUUAGAUACCCUGGUAGUCCGCGCGGUAAACGAUGGAUGCCCGCCGUUGGGUAUUUUUAUUCAGCGGCCAAGCGAAAGCGUUAAGCAUCCCACCUGGGGAGUACGCCGGCAACGGUGAAACUCAAAGGAAUUGACGGGGGCCCGCACAAGCGGAGGAACAUGUGGUUUAAUUCGAUGAUACGCGAGGAACCUUACCCGGGCUUGAAUUGCAGAUGACGGAUCCAGAGAUGGUGACUUCCUUCGGGACAUCUGUGAAGGUGCUGCAUGGUUGUCGUCAGCUCGUGCCGUGAGGUGUCGGCUUAAGUGCCAUAACGAGCGCAACCCCUUUCGUCAGUUGCCAUCGGGUAAUGCCGGGCACUCUGGCGACACUGCCGCCGCAAGGUGUGAGGAAGGUGGGGAUGACGUCAAAUCAGCACGGCCCUUACGUCCGGGGCUACACACGUGUUACAAUGGGGCAUACAGAGAGUUGGUCAUGCGCAAGCAUGAUCGGAUCAUGAAAGUGUCCCUCAGUUCGGACUGGGGUCUGCAACCCGACCCCACGAAGCUGGAUUCGCUAGUAAUCGCGCAUCAGCCAUGGCGCGGUGAAUACGUUCCCGGGCCUUGUACACACCGCCCGUCAAGCCAUGGAAGCCGGGAGUGCCUGAAGUGCGUGACCGCAAGAAGCGUCCUAAGGCAAUACCGGUGACUGGGGCUAAGUCGUAACAAGGUACC
rnacentral:rRNA from 1 species